ensembl:lncRNA
GUCCUGCAGGAGGCCCGCGUCGCCCUGGCGGCUCCUCGGUCACCGAACUGGGGCUCUGCUUAGUCACAAGUGGUACAACCCAGUUUCUGAUGUUCUCAAACUCUUGCCUGCAAAGAAAAGAAGAAAAUGCUUAAAGAGAAGAGCCCUCGUUUAUGUUUGUAUUUGUUGCCAUGGGGUUCAGUUCAACUGUAUACAGAUGUAAUUUUUUUUCUAAUAAAAAAAAAACUUUUCAAGCUGUGUACUGCAGUGGACAAAGAUUACACCAUGUUUGUGUUGUAAUGUUGCUAUGGAAGUGCAUAUGAUUUUAUGUGGUAAAAAUUUGCAGAGAAAUCGAAGGACCUCGUAUGUAUGCUUGACAGACAUGAAGUUUCAGAAGACAGGAUUCCAAACACACUAGAAUUAAGAGGGUUUCUGACAAUAACUUGAAGUCUGGAACUGCAGUGUAUGGGUGCUGCUUUACCAGCAGGGACUCUGACCCAGGAAGCAAAGGUUUUAGAGUCCAAGAGUCAACGAUUUGACCAGCUCUGCCGCUUACAAGCUGUGUGAGUUAAGUGGGUGUGCAUGCUAAGUCGCUCCAGGCGUGUCCAACUCUUUGAGACCCUAUGGACCGUAGCCUUCCAGGCUCCUCUGUCUACAGGAUUCUCCAGGCAAGAAUACUGGAGUGGGUUGCCAUGCCCUCCUCCAGGGGAUCUUUUCAACCCAGCAAUUGAACCCACAUCUCCUGCAUUGCAGGCGAUCUCUC